rnacentral:lncRNA from 10 species
CCAGGGUUCAAGUGAUUCUCCUGCCUCGGCCUCCUGAGUAGCUGGAAUUACAGGUGCAUGACCCCACACCCAGCCAAAUUAUUUUUAAAGUACAAACAUUUAUUAGCAGAUGGCCACAAAAACAGUCACACGGGCUGUUCUUGUAAGCUUGGAAAAGCUCACUACUUGUCUCAGGACUUCUGACCACACCUUUAAUGAGAAGCUCACUCGGAGUCUUUCCCCGACAUUCUGAAUGGUGGAUCAGCCAAUGCUCCCAAUAUGUCAGAGAAACGGAGCCCUCUCUGAACUACGAGAUGAACACAAGACCAAACAGUCCGGGAUGGAUAUGCAGCUCUGAAGGUGCCAGAUUCUUACCCCUUCCAGCAACAGCAGUAUGGCCUACUGAAACUUUCUAGUCAAUGACAUAUCUUGAGCAACAUUAAUGUCACCAAUGGAAAAAAAAAUGUGUUAUAUCCCUUACACCGGCUAACAAACCUUCUGUAUUGCAAAUGGUACAGUGUUUUCACUGUCCUCGUUCAUAUCUCUGGACAGUCUUCAGUUGAACUGAUUCAGAAGCUGGAGAGAAGAUCAGUAGGACAUUUUGUUUGAAGUCUGAAUUAUUAACAAUAACAACCAUAUGCCUGUCUUAUAACCCAGAAGUCAGACUAGAAGUACCCAAAGCUUACAGAAAUGCCAGAACAUCAUUGAUAUCUCUGGACACUCUUCAGCUGAACUGAUUCAGAAGCUGGAGAGAAGAUCGGCAGGACAUUUUGUUUGAAGUCUUCAUCAUUAACAAUAUCUAACAACCACAUGCCUGUCUUAUCAUAAUCCAGAAGUCAGACUAGAAGUACCCAAAGCUUACAGAAACUGCCAGAACAAUCUAUGAUAUGAUAUUAUCAUCACAUGGCAGUUACUCACUCAGCAAAUAUUCUUUCUGAGAGGCGGUGGAACACGUUGGUUACAAGCACAAGCUUUGACAUGAAGCGGCUCAGCUCUACCAUUAACCAGCAGAUUGACCCUGGGCAAAAUUCUGAACCUCUUCCAGACUUAUUUUUUCAUUGGUAAAGUGGAAAUUGUCAUGAAUAAUUACUGAAUUAUUUUGGGUAGAUAGAGGUAACCUCUAAUAGGUAGAAGUAGGUCUCUCCCAUGGCAUGCUGAACAUAGGAAGUAUGUCAAAAUGACCAGGUUCUGCCAGAUACACAAGCACUUACUAAAUAAUCAUUCCAUCUUAUUUUAUGUGAGCUCAGUGAAUUGCCAACUCUCUGCCCUUUUAGGCACUUUGACAGUACCUUGCAUGAACGUUUUACUUCAGGCUGGUGCAGCACUAGUCUGGCAGCAGGUUCAGCUAAACUUCUAGUUGGUCAGGUGACAUAAUCCUCCAUUAAAUGUCUUACACCCAGAAGUAAUUGGAAUCCUAAGCACAGAUUACUAUUUGAAGGGUGUAGGCUAUUGUGUUAGGUAGGUUCUUAUUUCCUGUAUAUUCCAGGUCAGGAGUGCCUAUUCAAUAUUUCCAGUCAAUUCACUCCUGCCUGAACACUAUUCAUUUCUUCAAUGAAGAGUCAUUUCUAUAUCCAUAAUGCUAAUUAGAAAAACUUCUGGUGUUGAUCAGAAAUAAAGACAGUUAUGAAUUUGAAUUAUGGAUAUGAGUUAUGGAUUAGAGUCUUUGAAAUGUAAACUAACUCUAUAGAUCGUAUAUUUUUAUUUAAGAAACUGCAAGUGUUAACUACUAGCCUUUAGGAUAAAGAGAUUAAAGUUAGGACAUACUACACUGAAGUACUUGUAAGUGAAUUACAAAUAAUAUAACAGGGGAAAAAUUCUCACAAGAAUGUUGUGAGAAUUAAUAAUAGCUAAUUUUUUGAAUGUUUCCUAGUGCCAAGUACUAUACUCAGGUAAUCAUGUGCAUAUUCUGAUUUAAUCAUUAUAAAAACACCAUGAGGGAGACAAUAUUAUUAAAUGAAUUAUGAGUAAAUGAGCAAAUAAACAGUCACUAGUUAGCAUUCUUCCCAGUGCAUGAUAAACAUGCAAUAAAUGGUAACUAUUCUUAUUUUGCGGAUCUGAAGAUUGUGUCACGAUAACAAACUGUUACCAGCAGCUGGGCCUUGUCUGACACUUAAAUGAAUAUGACACAUGCUAAGCUGAUGUCAAAUGCUUCCCUUUAAAAUUUGGGUGAAUGUGGGUGAGCCUGAAUUUUAUAAAGGCCUGUUCAGACCUUUUUAAUCAAUGACAUAUAUCUAUUAAAUGCAAAUACAUUCACAGAGAUGACAGAUGUUUCUUUUUUUUGUUUUUUUGAGACAAGAGUUUUUUUCUGUCACCCAGGCUGGAGUGCAGUGGUGCAAUCUCGGCUCACUGUAACCUCCACCUCCCGGGUUCAAGGGAUUCUCCUGCCUCAGCCUACUGAGUAGCUGGGAUUAUAGGCACGUGCCACCACGCCUGGCUAACUUUUGUAUUUUUAGUAGAGACAGUUUCAUCAUGUUGGCCAGACUGGUCUCGAGCUCCUGACCUCAGGUGAUCCACCGGCCUCGGCCUCCCAAAGUGCUGGGAUUACAGGCCUGAGCCACCGCACCCGGCUGACAGAUGUUUCAUUCUGAGGUCUAUACAAAUGGAACUAACCUACAGCGUGUAUUGUGUCGACGGUCUCUAAAUGUGUUAAAUUUGCCAUAGUGCACAUUUGGAUGUAUGUGUAAUUUUUUUAAGUCUCAGGUUUUUUAAGUCUAAGGUUUACAAAUAUUUGAAAAAUGAAAUAUGAAUCAAACAUUUGUGGAGUACCUGAAGCAUUUCCUGCCAUGAGGUCCCAGUUUGAUAACCACUGGCCUAAAUGACUGGCUGGCAUCCAGCGCUCAUCUCAAUAUUACAAUCCUAUGAUUCAAUUAUUGCUAAAAGCAAAAAUCUAAGAUCUGCAAAAGCCCAGUCUCCUAACCAAUGAACAAAAUCCAGCUACUCUUUAUUUUAAAUUCCAAUCAACGUAGAGAACAUGAUGAGAAAGAUGAUUCAUUACGGUUGUCACUCACAUUUUUUUCUCAUUGAAUAAACAUGAUUAUUUGCCAUUCGCUAGUCAGUUUUCUCUCUUCUUUUAA